rnacentral:rRNA from 1 species
GGGUUGUGAGGUUAAGCGACUAAGCGUACACGGUGGAUGCCCUGGCAGUCAGAGGCGAUGAAGGACGUGCUAAUCUGCGAAAAGCGUCGGUAAGGUGAUAUGAACCGUUAUAACCGGCGAUGUCCGAAUGGGGAAACCCAGUGCAAUUCGUUGCACUAUCGUUAACUGAAUACAUAGGUUAACGAGGCGAACCGGGGGAACUGAAACAUCUAAGUACCCCGAGGAAAAGAAAUCAACCGAGAUUCCCCCAGUAGCGGCGAGCGAACGGGGAGCAGCCCAGAGUCUGAAUCAGCUUGUGUGUUAGUGGAACGGUCUGGAAAGUCCGACGGUACAGGGUGAUAGUCCCGUACACCAAAAUGCACAGGCUGUGAACUCGAAGAGUAGGGCGGGACACGUGGUAUCCUGUCUGAAUAUGGGGGGACCAUCCUCCAAGGCUAAAUACUCCUGACUGACCGAUAGUGAACCAGUACCGUGAGGGAAAGGCGAAAAGAACCCCGGCGAGGGGAGUGAAAAAGAACCUGAAACCGUGUACGUACAAGCAGUGGGAGCACCUUCGGGUGUGACUGCGUACCUUUUGUAUAAUGGGUCAGCGACUUAUAUUCUGUAGCAAGGUUAACCGUAUAGGGGAGCCGCAGGGAAACCGAGUCUUAACUGGGCGUUAAGUUGCAGGGUAUAGACCCGAAACCCGGUGAUCUAGCCAUGGGCAGGUUGAAGGUUGGGUAACACUAACUGGAGGACCGAACCGACUAAUGUUGAAAAAUUAGCGGAUGACUUGUGGCUGGGGGUGAAAGGCCAAUCAAACCGGGAGAUAGCUGGUUCUCCCCGAAAGCUAUUUAGGUAGCGCCUCGUGAACUCAUCUUCGGGGGUAGAGCACUGUUUCGGCUAGGGGGUCAUCCCGACUUACCAACCCGAUGCAAACUACGAAUACCGAAGAAUGUUAUCACGGGAGACACACGGCGGGUGCUAACGUCCGUCGUGAAGAGGGAAACAACCCAGACCGCCAGCUAAGGUCCCAAAGUCAUGGUUAAGUGGGAAACGAUGUGGGAAGGCACAGACAGCCAGGAUGUUGGCUUAGAAGCAGCCAUCAUUUAAAGAAAGCGUAAUAGCUCACUGGUCGAGUCGGCCUGCGCGGAAGAUGUAACGGGGCUAAACCAUGCACCGAAGCUGCGGCAGCGACACUAUGUGUUGUUGGGUAGGGGAGCGUUCUGUAAGCCUGCGAAGGUGUGCUGUGAGGCAUGCUGGAGGUAUCAGAAGUGCGAAUGCUGACAUAAGUAACGAUAAAGCGGGUGAAAAGCCCGCUCGCCGGAAGACCAAGGGUUCCUGUCCAACGUUAAUCGGGGCAGGGUGAGUCGACCCCUAAGGCGAGGCCGAAAGGCGUAGUCGAUGGGAAACAGGUUAAUAUUCCUGUACUUGGUGUUACUGCGAAGGGGGGACGGAGAAGGCUAUGUUAGCCGGGCGACGGUUGUCCCGGUUUAAGCAUGUAGGCUGGUUAUCCAGGCAAAUCCGGAUAAUCAAGGCUGAGGUGUGAUGACGAGGCACUACGGUGCUGAAGUAACAAAUGCCCUGCUUCCAGGAAAAGCCUCUAAGCAUCAGGUAACAUCAAAUCGUACCCCAAACCGACACAGGUGGUCAGGUAGAGAAUACCAAGGCGCUUGAGAGAACUCGGGUGAAGGAACUAGGCAAAAUGGUGCCGUAACUUCGGGAGAAGGCACGCUGGUGUGUAGGUGAAGUCCCUGCGGAUGGAGCUGAGACCAGUCGAAGAUACCAGCUGGCUGCAACUGUUUAUUAAAAACACAGCACUGUGCAAACACGAAAGUGGACGUAUACGGUGUGACGCCUGCCCGGUGCCGGAAGGUUAAUUGAUGGGGUUAUCCGUAAGGAGAAGCUCUUGAUCGAAGCCCCGGUAAACGGCGGCCGUAACUAUAACGGUCCUAAGGUAGCGAAAUUCCUUGUCGGGUAAGUUCCGACCUGCACGAAUGGCGUAAUGAUGGCCAGGCUGUCUCCACCCGAGACUCAGUGAAAUUGAACUCGCUGUGAAGAUGCAGUGUACCCGCGGCAAGACGGAAAGACCCCGUGAACCUUUACUAUAGCUUGACACUGAACAUUGAGCCUUGAUGUGUAGGAUAGGUGGGAGGCUUUGAAGCGUGGACGCCAGUCUGCGUGGAGCCAACCUUGAAAUACCACCCUUUAAUGUUUGAUGUUCUAACGUUGGCCCCUGACCGGGGUUGCGGACAGUGUCUGGUGGGUAGUUUGACUGGGGCGGUCUCCUCCCAAAGCGUAACGGAGGAGCACGAAGGUUAGCUAAUCCUGGUCGGACAUCAGGAGGUUAGUGCAAUGGCAUAAGCUAGCUUGACUGCGAGCGUGACGGCGCGAGCAGGUGCGAAAGCAGGUCAUAGUGAUCCGGUGGUUCUGAAUGGAAGGGCCAUCGCUCAACGGAUAAAAGGUACUCCGGGGAUAACAGGCUGAUACCGCCCAAGAGUUCAUAUCGACGGCGGUGUUUGGCACCUCGAUGUCGGCUUGUCACAUCCUGGGGCUGAAGGAGGUCCCAAGGGGAUGGCUGUUCGCCAUUUCAAGUGGGAUGCGAGCUGGGUUUAGAACGUCGUGAGACAGUUCGGUCCCUAUCUGCCGUGGGCGCUGGAGAAUUGAGGGGGGCUGCUCCUAGUACGAGAGGACCGGAGUGGACGCAUCACUGGUGUUCGGGUUGUCAUGCCAAUGGCACUGCCCGGUAGCUAAAUGCGGAAGAGAUAAGUGCUGAAAGCAUCUAAGCACGAAACUUGCCCCGAGAUGAGUUCUCCCUGAGACUAUAAGUCUCCUGAAGGAACGUUAAAGACGAUGACGUUGAUAGGCCGGGUGUGUAAGCGCAGCGAUGCGUUGAGCUAACCGGUACUAAUGAACCGUGAGGCUUAACCUUACAACGCCGAAG